rnacentral:misc_RNA from 1 species
GAUGAAGAACGUAGCGAAAUGCGAUAAGUAAUGUGAAUUGCAGAGUUCAGUGAAUCAUCGAAUCUUUGAACGCACAUUGCGCCCGUUAGUAUUCUGACGGGCAUGCCUGUCCGAGCGUCAUUUCAACCCUCAAGCACGGCUUGGUGUUGGCGGAUUGCGUGCCCUAGCGGCGCUGCACGCCCAAAUAUAGUGGCGGUCCCGCUGCGGCUCCCUUUGCGUAGUAACUCACCUCGCACUGGACCGGGCGGCGGCUCGCCGUAAAACCCCAACUCACGAAAUGUUGACCUCGGAUCAGGUAGGAAUACCCGCUGAACUUAAGCAUAUCAAUAAGCGGAGGA